rnacentral:rRNA from 1 species
AGUAGGGGUCCACGGGAGGCGUUGCAGAGCCUCAGGCCCGAGUCUUCAUCUAGUCGAAGCGGAUGGAAAGCCGCACCGCAGAAGGUGAGAGUCCUGUAGGCGAAAGGUGUGGAUAGGGCUGUGGGCUACCUGAGUACCACGGGGCACGUGAAACCCUGUGGGAAACCGGGAGGACCACCUCCCAAGGCUAAAUACUACCUGCGACCGAUAGUGGAGCAGUACCGUGAGGGAAAGGUGAAAAGCACCCCGGGAGGGGAGUGAAAUAGAACCUGAAACCGUGAUGCCUACAAACAGUCGGAGGGCGUUAAGGCCUGACGGCGUACUUUUUGUAGAACGGACCGGCGAGUUAAGGUAUGCAGCGAGGUUAAGGUUAAGAGCCGGAGCCGGAGCGAAAGCGAGUCUGAAGAGGGCGUAGUGUAGCGUAGCUACACGCAGUUGCAUGCCUUAGACCCGAAACCGAGUGAUCUAUCCAUGGCCAGGGUGAAGCGUGAGUAAAGUCACGUGGAGGCCCGAACCACGUGUCCGUUGAAAAGGGCUGGGAUGAGCUGUGGAUAGGGGUGAAAAGCCAAUCGAACUCGGAUAUAGCUGGUUCUCCCCGAAAUAGCUUUAGGGCUAGCCUUAAGGUAUAGAGUACCGGAGGUAGAGCACUGAUGGGGCGAGGGGGCCAAAAAGCUUACCGAACUCUUUCAAACUCCGAAUGCCGGUACUUGGUUCUUAGGAGUCAGACUAUGGGAGCUAAGUUUCAUAGUCGAGAGGGGAACAGCCCAGACCAACAGCUAAGGUCCCGAAGUAUGAGCUAAGUGGGAAAGGAUGUAGGGUUGCAGAGACAACCAGGAUGUUGGCUUAGAAGCAGCCAUUCAUUUAAAGAGUGCGUAAUAGCUCACUGGUCGAGUGGUCCUGCGCGGAAAAUGUAACGGGGCUCAAACAUCACACCGAAGCUUAGGAUUUCUGUCGGUUUCACCAAGGAUUCAACAUUUCGCGGUGCGAAAGCAGCGCCAAAUGAGUCUAGCGAAAACACUAGACCGAAUUUUUGGUGAAGCCGACAGGAGUGGUAGGGGAGCGUUGUAUACUCGCUGAAGUCGUACCGUAAGGAGCGGUGGAGGGUAUACAAGUGAGAAUGCAGGAAUAAGUAGCGAAAAGAUGGGUGAGAAUCCCAUCCGCCGAAAGCCUAAGGAUUCCUGAGGAAGGUUCGUCCGCUCAGGGUAAGCCGGGACCUAAGCCGAGGCCGAGAGGAGUAGGCGAUGGAUAACUGGUUAAAAUUCCAGUGCCACCAAGUACCGUUUGAGCGAUGGGGUGACGCAGAAGGGUAGGUCAUCAGACUGAUGGAUGUCUGUUCAAGCCAGUAGGGUAGUGUGUAGGCAAAUCCGCACACUGAAAGCCUGAGAGGUGACGACGAGCUGAGAUUAUAUCAAAGCGAAGUGACUGAUCCCAAGCUGCCGAGAAAAGCCUCUAGCGAGGAAACUGGUGCCCGUACCGCAAACCGACACAGGUAGGCAGGUAGAGAAUACUAAGGCGCGCGAGAGAACCCCUGUUAAGGAACUCGGCAAAUUAACCGCGUAACUUCGGGAGAAGCGGUGCCUUUGUAGCGUGAAGCGACAUGCUCGUGGAGCGUGAAGAGGCUGCAGAUAAAUGGCCCAAGCGACUGUUUACCAAAAACACAGGUCCCUGCAAAGUCGCAAGACGACGUAUAGGGGCUGACGCCUGCCCAGUGCUGGAAGGUUACGGGGAGAGGUUAGGAGAAAUCCGAAGCUUCGAACUUAAGCCCCAGUAAACGGCGGCCGUAACUAUAACGGUCCUAAGGUAGCGAAAUUCCUUGUCGGGUAAGUUCCG